CAGACGAGAAUAUUCCGCAAUGGACGAAAGUCUGACGGAGCGACGCCGCGUGAUGGAUGAAGUGCUUCGGUACGUAAACAUCUUUUAUCGGGGAAGAAAUUAUUGACGGUACCCGAUGAAUAAGGGGCUCCUAACUCUGUGCCAGCAGGAGCGGUAAUACAGAGGCCCCAAGCAUUACCCGGAAUCAUUGGGCGUAAAGGGUGUCGAGGCGGCCUUGUUAGUCUCCCGUCAAAUCCGCAGGCUUAACCUGUGGCUCGCGGGGGAAACGGCAAGGCUCGAGGUCGGGAGAGGUGCAUGGAACUCACGGUGGAGGGGUGAAAUCCGUUGAUAUCGUGGGGAACACCAAAGGCGAAGGCAGUGCACUGGCCCGAAUCUGACGCUCACACACGAAAGCCAGGGGAGCGAACGGGAUUAGA
rnacentral:rRNA from 1 species